rnacentral:rRNA from 1 species
GUGGGGAAUAUUGGACAAUGGGCGCAAGCCUGAUCCAGCCAUGCCGCGUGAGUGAUGAAGGCCCUAGGGUUGUAAAGCUCUUUCAGUGGGGACGAUAAUGACGGUACCCACAGAAGAAGCCCCGGCUAACUUCGUGCCAGCAGCCGCGGUAAUACGAAGGGGGCUAGCGUUGUUCGGAUUUACUGGGCGUAAAGCGCACGUAGGCGGAUCGUUAAGUCGAGGGUGAAAUCCUGGAGCUUAACUCCAGAACUGCCUUCGAUACUGGCGAUCUUGAGUCCGGAAGAGGUGAGUGGAACUCCUAGUGUAGAGGUGGAAUUCGUAGAUAUUAGGAAGAACACCAGUGGCGAAGGCGGCUCACUGGUCCGGUACUGACGCUGAGGUGCGAAAGCGUGGGGAGCAAACAGGAUUAGAAACCCCAGUAGUCC